rnacentral:sRNA from 1 species
GCCGUAGGUGAACCUGCGGAAGGAUCAUUACCGAGUGCGGGCCCUCUGGGUCCAACCUCCCAUCCGUUUCUAUCUGUACCCUGUUGCUUCGGCGUGGCCACGGCCCGCCGAAGACUAACAUUUGAACACUGUCUGAAGUUUGCAGUCUGAGUUUUUAGUUAAACAAUAAUUAAAACUUUCAACAACGGAUCUCUUGGUUCCGGCAUCGAUCAAGAACGCAGCGAAAUGCGAUAAUUAAUGUGAAUUGCAGAAUUCAGUGAAUCAUCGAGUCUUUGAAGGCACAUUGCGCCCCCUGGUAUUCCGGGGGGCAUGCCUGUCCGAGCGUCAUUGCUGCCCUCAAGCACGGCUUGUGUGUUGGGCUUCCGUCCCUGGUAACGGGGACGGGCCCAAAAGGCAGUGGCGGCACCAUGUCUGGUCCUCGAGCGUAUGGGGCUUUGUCACCCGCUCCCGUAGGUCCAGCUGGCAGCUAGCCUCGCAACCAAUCUUUUUAACCAGGUUGACCUCGGAUCAGGUAGGGAUACCCGCUGAACUUAAGCAUAUCAAUAAGCGGAGGAAAAGAAACCAACAGGGAUUGCCUC